rfam:Xanthomonas fragariae strain PD5205 genome assembly, chromosome: 1
AUGUACCACUCGUGCACUGCGGUUCUUCCGCGUCGUUCGCACCGACCUGACGACUGCUCGCGACGUUUGUCAGCC